CCUCACGUGACCACGCUGGCUCCCUGAUCGUGGACUUCCAGCCUCCGGAACUAGGCGAAGCCCACUUCUCUUGUUUAUAAGCUAUCUAGUCUGGGGUAUUUUGCCACAAGAGCACCAACAAAGACACUAUCCAAGCAGCAAAAGUUGUGAAAAACUCAAAAAUUACAUUGUUUGGGAUUUGGAAUCCGGGGGGCUGUGCUCAAAGCAGCAACGAUGAUUCCUACCUCUUGUCUGUGCUGUUUCUGAACAGGGAAACAAUGAUAUUUAAAGACACCCAGAAACCUCAACGAAAAUGUCUGUGGGCCGUGCCUGAGCGGUCUGCUGAACAGAAUCGGGGUCUAAUGUGAAGAAUCAGCCGGCUCCAAUACUUGAAAGGCCCAGACGCAUAAAGGAUGUAUGUGCUGAGGCAGCUGCAAUUCAUAAAUUAAGAAGGUGACCAGCUUCCCCGCCGUGAGGUGUAAAGGCUCCUGUGGAGCACGGGCUGGAGUUGGCCAGUGUCUUGGCUCCGCUGCUGUCACCUUCCUGUCCGACUAGCGUCACCCAGCCUUCCAUGCCAGGACCGCAUCCCCUCCUGGCUGCUCGUGAGGCUUCAGAGCAAACAUCUGGCUCCCCUUAUUCUGACCCAACCUUACUUGGCACAUUUCAUGAUACAGCCAAAUCUAACAGACCUAUGCACGAGGUCCCACGCACUAAGGACUUUCUAACUGGAUGUAUUUGAUUCUCCCUGGGACUGACACCUAUGAAGCCACCAACUGCAGACACACAAGCACUGAGGAAUCCAGCGCCCCACUGCCUUGAGUCAGUUCUAUUCAGAAGCACUGCUUUCCCUCU